rnacentral:rRNA from 1 species
AUGCAUGUUAUCCAGAUGUGCGGGGGUUUAGGGAUCCAGAUGAGGAAGAGGAGUGAUUUCCCUCCCAUGACACUUCCCGAGUUGGUCAGGGGCUGGCAAUCGACCUGGUUCUACUGCCGGGAUAUUGCGCCCCCCGGUCAGUCGACUGGUCUUCCCCCUUUUUCCUUAGAUCAUGCCCAGCAACCUUCUUCACUGAGAGUGACUGCUGCGGAGAGGGUGGAAACGAACAUGUUGGUGGAGAGGUUAGUACAGUUGGUCCGUCAGGGUGUAACUGGCAUGGAUCUGCUGGAGGUGUUUCUCAGUCGACGCAUCCAACCACUCCAAGCUCGUGACCACUCGAUGUGGAUGUAUUCGGGAGCCAACGACACCGCUCGGGUCCACCCAGAGGAGGUUACAUAUGAGACGGUGGCCCUGUGGCUGAAGGGCAUUACAGGAAACAAGGACAACCCCAGGGGAGUCAGGAGAGUCGAUCCAUUCGACACCAACAACCAGCCAGACAAGGUUUAUACUAAGAUGUACUCGAUGCCCAAUGGUGAACAAGCCCUGGAGCAAGACCAGGAGGGAGAGGACAGCACAGAAGAGAGCAGUGAAUGGGAAUCUCCAGAAGAUGACGAUGAGGAAGACAAUGAUGAGUCGGACGAUGAAGAGGUAGUCGACUCACCACCUCGCUCAGAGCAUUGUUCUAAGCAACUCCAAGAUCCGGCGGGAGGGCACGGCAAGACCGUGGCUCCGAGUACCCAAGCACAAAAGCGCACUCGGACUUCGACUCCGGAGCCAACGGAGAAGGUCGCCAAGCAACCCAAGGUGGCCCCUUCGAAGCCUCAGAAGACCUUGCCCAAGAUCAAGAUGGACGUUCCUGUUACCUCUGGCGCUGCAACUUCUACGACUUCCAUGGACGUUGACAAGGUCCGAGGUGAUGAGGAGGCCGAUGACGCAACCACUUCCAAAGCUGCUCCGCGGGACGUCAUUGAACUUCCGGCUGAUGAAGAAGAAGUUCCUCUGAGGAAGAGAAGGAGGAGGGGCAGGGCCUCAAUAUUGGGGAACGUAGUAAUUUCAAAAAAAAUUCCUACGCACACGCAAUAUCAUGGUGAUGACAUAGCAACGAGAGGGGAGAGUGUUGUCCACGUACCCUUGUAG